rnacentral:rRNA from 1 species
UACGGGGGGGGCAAGCGUUGUUCGGAAUUACUGGGCGUAAGGGGCUCGUAGGCGGCCAACUAAGUCCGACGUGAAAUCCCAAGGCUUAACCUUGGAACUGCGUCGGAUACUGGAUGGCUUGAAUUCGGGAGAGGGAUGCAGAAUUCCAGGUGUAGCGGUGAAAUGCGUAGAUAUCUGGAGGAAUACCGGUGGCGAAGGCGGCAUCCUGGACCGACAUUGACGCUGAUGAGCGAAAGCUAGGGGAGCAAACGGG